GACGAACGCUGGCGGCGUGCUUAACACAUGCAAGUCGAACGGAAAGGCCCUGCUUUUGUGGGGUGCUCGAGUGGCGAACGGGUGAGUAACACGUGAGUAACCUGCCCUUGACUUUGGGAUAACUUCAGGAAACUGGGGCUAAUACCGGAUAGGAGCUCCUGCUGCAUGGUGGGGGUUGGAAAGUUUCGGCGGUUGGGGAUGGACUCGCGGCUUAUCAGCUUGUUGGUGGGGUAGUGGCUUACCAAGGCUUUGUCGGGUAGCCGGCCUGAGAGGGUGACCGGCCACAUUGGGACUGAGAUGCGGCCCAGACUCCUACGGGAGGCAGCAGUGGGGAAUAUUGCACAAUGGGCGGAAGCCUGAUGCAGCAACGCCGCUGGCGGGAUGACGGCCUUCGGGUUGUAAACCGCUUUCGCCUGUGACGAAGCGUGAGUGACGGUAAUGGGUAAAGAAGCACCGGCUAACUACGUG
rnacentral:rRNA from 1 species